UGGGGAAUCUUCCGCAAUGGACGAAAGCCUGACGGAGCAACGCCGCGUGAGUGAAGAAGGUUUUCGGAUCGUAAAGCUCUGUUGUUUAGGACGAGUGUAUAGCUGUUGAAUAAUAGGUUAUAAUGACGGUACUAAGCGAGAAAGCCACGGCUAACUACGUGCCAGCAGCCGCGGUAAUACGUAGGUGGCAAGCGUUGUCCGGAAUUAUCGGGCGUAAAGGGUACGUAGGCUGCAUCAUAAGUCGGGCGUGAAAGGCAGGGGCUCAACCCCUGGAGUGCGCUUGAUACUGUGAUGCUAGAGUCAUGGAGGGGGAACCGGAACUCUCGGUGUAGCAGUGAAAUGCGUAGAUAUCGAGAAGAACACUCGUGGCGAAGGCGGGUUCCUGGACAUGUACUGACGCUGAGGUACGAAGGCUAGGGGAGCGAAAG
rnacentral:rRNA from 1 species